AGCGGCGGACGGGUGAGUAACACGUGGGUAACCUGCCCAAGAGACUGGGAUAACACCUGGAAACAGAUGCUAAUACCGGAUAACAACACUAGACGCAUGUCUAGAGUUUGAAAGAUGGUUCUGCUAUCACUCUUGGAUGGACCUGCGGUGCAUUAGCUAGUUGGUAAGGUAACGGCUUACCAAGGCAAUGAUGCAUAGCCGAGUUGAGAGACUGAUCGGCCACAUUGGGACUGAGACACGGCCCAAACUCCUACGGGAGGCAGCAGUAGGGAAUCUUCCACAAUGGACGAAAGUCUGAUGGAGCAACGCCGCGUGAGUGAAGAAGGGUUUCGGCUCGUAAAGCUCUGUUGGUAGUGAAGAAAGAUAGAGGUAGUAACUGGCCUUUAUUUGACGGUAAUUACUUAGAAAGUCACGGCUAACUACGUGCCAGCAGCCGCGGUAAUACGUAGGUGGCAAGCGUUGUCCGGAUUUAUUGGGCGUAAAGCGAGUGCAGGCGGUUCAAUAAGUCUGAUGUGAAAGCCCUCGGCUCAACCGGAGAAUUGCAUCAGAAACUGUUGAACUUGAGUGCAGAAGAGGAGAGUGGAACUCCAUGUGUAGCGGUGGAAUGCGUAGAUAUACGGAAGAACACCAGUGGCGAAGGCGGCUCUCUGGUCUGCAACUGACGCUGAGGCUCGAAAGCAUGGGUAGCGAACAGGAUUAGAUACCCUGGUAGUCCAUGCCGUAAACGAUGAGUGCUAAGUGU
rnacentral:rRNA from 1 species